rnacentral:pre_miRNA from 1 species
CCCCCACCCAUGUAUGUAGGAUCCCAAAGGAUCCCCAUUAAAUUUAGCAUGGAUCUUUAGAAAAGUUAUCACACGGGUGUGGGACUUGACUUUUUUAGAGAUCUGUACCAAAUUUAAUGGUGAUCCUUUGUGGUCCUACAAAUAUGGGUGGGGG